CUUUAUCUCGAUAUAAACCAAGUGCAGUUCAACCUUCUUCUCCAAUUCCAAAACCCUCUAUUGCCUUUGCCUGCACCGCAACGCACCGUCCUUCUUUCCUUUUCUUUCAACUCUCUCAGAAAACACAGUAACAAAAAUGGUCAAGAAACGAAAGCCCACUUCCAAACCCCAACAACCAUCCUCUUCUAAACAACCCAAAAUUGAAAAGCCCCCGCAGCCUCCACCACCUUCCUCAGAAGCCGAAGAAGUAGCAGCAGUGGUAGAGGAGGAGGAGGAGGAGGAGGAGGAGGAGGAGGAGGAGGAAGAAGAAGAAGGAGACAGUUCCUCGUCAGAAACAGAGUCAGGGGAUUCAGGAUCCGAAGAGGAGGAGGAAUCUGAAUCUGAAUCUGAAUCCGAAGAAGAAGAAGAAGAAAGCGAAGAUUCUAAACGAGAAACCAUAAGCAAAAUCUUACAACCCUUCACUAAAGAACUACUUAUCAAAAUCCUCAAAGAAGCAGCCUCCACUGACCCAUGUAUCGCCACAGAAAUCUUCAACUCCGUCGAUUCUGACCCAGUCCACCGCAAAAUCUUCGUUCACGGACUCGGUUGGGAUGCCCACAACGAAACCCUUAUCUCAGUUUUCAAAAAAUACGGUGAAAUUGAGGAAUGCAAGAUUGUAACUGAUAAGGCUACAGGUCGCUCAAAAGGGUAUGGUUUUCUUCUCUUUAAAACGCGAAUUGCUGCGCGGAAAGCGCUUAAAGAGCCACAAAAAAAGGUGGGGAAUCGAACGGUUUCGUGUCAAUUGGCGUCUUUAGGAAAGGGGCAGAAUCAGAAACAGGACAAUAGCUCUGAUGUCAGUUUGAGGAAAUUGUACAUAGGGAAUGUGGGUCCGCAGAUUAGUGUGGAGAAUCUUAGAGAGUUUUUUGCUCAGUUUGGAGAAAUUGAAGAUGGGCCAUCAGGUUUUGAUAAGAGUACUAUGAAGUUUAGGGGUUUUGCCUUUAUUGUUUAUAAGAGUUUAGAGGGGAUUAGGAAGGCAUUAGAAGAGCCUGUUAAGGUUUUUGAAGGUUUAAAGUUGCAGUGUUCACUAUCUACUAAGAAUAGCAGUGGUGGUGGUGGUAAUGCUAAUGUUGCGGAGGCGUCCAGUGCUGGUGCUGGUAACAAUGCAGGAGUUGUGCAGGGAAAUUUGGGAAUUCAGGGUUUAUUGAACCAGGGAAUGGUGGGGCAGAGUGUGAAUCCAACAGGUGCAGUUUUCUUGGGGCAGAAUCCUGCUUUGGGGGUUUUGAAUCCGGUGCUGGGUCUAGGUGUUGGUGCAGGUGGGAUGCUGAAUCAGACAGGGUUGAGUCCAUUGUUUCCUGGUGGGGUUUCGCAGCCUUUGAACAGAGUUGGGAAUGUUGGUCCUUCUAUUGGAUUGGGUGCAGGAUUUACCACACAGCAUGGGAUUAAUACUAUAAGCAACAGUAUGAUUGGUAGUUAUAAUUCUCAGGCUGCUUUGCAGGGAUUGGGUGCUUAUCAGAGUUCUCAAUUGAGUCAGCCUUCUGCAUCAGCAGCAAGGUCUCAGGCUGGCAUUGGAUCUGUGCCGAGUUAUUUUGGGCGCUAGGAACAGGACGCCAGGGAAAUGGGAGAUACUGGAUUCGAGUUCAUAAUAACAAUACGUACUUGUAUUCACUUGUUGGAUAAACAAAUUGUUCGAUAAUCUCAAAUUAAUUGCUAAGGAUUCAAUUUCAGCAAAAGAGUGUUUCAAGAAGAUCCUAUCAGUUCGUUAACUUCUGCAGCACAUUUCAAUUCUUUGUGCACACUUCCUCGCCGGACACGGAUGCAGGUAGCACCAUGAGAGAAUUUGAGGAGCUGAAUAAGACGUUCAAGAGCUGAGCCAUAGUAUCACCAUGGAUAGUAGAGUUAAGAAGGGAGGUAGAGUGAAGAUGGGCACCGCAGCCUUUGUGCUCCUAGCAAUUUGUUUAUCAAACAAGUAAUGGCUAUUGAACACAGAUAAACAGUAUCAACACAAAGCACUUUGUCUUGAAAGCCCUAACAUGAGCACUUUGAUAUUUUUAUUCCUUUUCAAGUACCCUGUUUGAGAUUCAUCUUAUAAAUAAGUUAUUAUUUGA